UCAGUCGGCCGGACGGCCGCUCCCGCUAUGGUCGAAAGGCUGCGGGGGAGGAAAGUCCGGGCUCCAUCGACAUACGGUGCCGGAUAACGUCCGGCGGGGGCAACCCCAGGGAAAGUGCCACAGAGAACGAACCGCCAGCCUUUGCCUUUCGGGGCUUCGGCGGGCAAGGGUGAAAAGGUGCGGUAAGAGCGCACCGCGUAUCCGGCAACGGAAACGGCAUGGCAAACCACACCGGGAGCAAAACCGAAUAGGGACGGCAACGCGGUAAGUUCGCCGCAAGGCGAUAACACCGCAGGGCGAUGUCAGGCCCGCCGUCCGGGUAGGUUGCUCGAGGCCAUGCGCAAGCAUGGUCCCAGAGGAAUGGCCGUCACGUACCGUUCGAAAGAACGGUGCCCUACAGAACCCGGCUUACAGGCUGGCUGAUAUC
rnacentral:RNase_P_RNA from 1 species